UACAGAGGGUGCAAGCGUUGUUCGGAAUUACUGGGCGUAAAGCGUGCGCAGGCGGUUUUGUAAGACAGAGGUGAAAUCCCCGGGCUUAACCUGGGAACUGCCUUUGUGACUGCAAGGCUUGAGUGCGGCAGAGGGGGAUGGAAUUCCGCGUGUAGCAGUGAAAUGCGUAGAUAUGCGGAGGAACACCGAUGGCGAAGGCAAUCCCCUGGGCCUGCACUGACGCUCAUGCACGAAAGCGUGGGGAGCAAACAGG
rnacentral:rRNA from 1 species